rnacentral:rRNA from 1 species
GACAGAGGUGCCAAGCGUUAGGCGGAAUCACUGGGCUUAAAGCGUGUGUAGGCGGACUUGUAAGUACCUUGUGAAAUCCCACGGCUCAACCGGGGAACUGCUCGGUAUACUGCUUGUCUUGAGCCACUUAGGGGCUGUCGGAACAAACGGUGGAGCGGUGAAAUGCGUAGAUAUCAGGAAGAACACCAAUGGCGAAGGCAGCGCUCUGGGACGGUACUGACGCUGAGACGCGAAAGCGUGGGGAGCGAACAGG